rnacentral:misc_RNA from 1 species
GAUGAAGAACGUAGUGAAAUGCGAUAAGUAAUGUGAAUUGCAGAAUUCAGUGAAUCAUCGAAUCUUUGAACGCAUCUUGCGCUCCUUGGUAUUCCGAGGAGCAUGCCUGUUUGAGUGUCAUUAAAUUCUCAACUCUCCUAUACUUUGUUGUAAAGGAGGGCUUGGAUUGUGGAGGCUUGCUGGCCGCUUGAUGUGGUCAGCUCCUCUGAAAUGCAUUAGCAGAACUGUUUGCGAUCUGCCACAAGUGUGAUAAAUUAUCUACACUGGCGAGGGGAUUGCUCUCUGUGUUCAGCUUCUAAUCGUCUUCAGUGACAAUUUCUUGAAUGCUUGACCUCAAAUCAGGUAGGACUACCCGCUGAACUUAAGCAUAUCAAUAAGCGGAGGA